AUUGAACGCUGGCGGCAUGCUUUACACAUGCAAGUCGAACGGUAACAGGCCGCAAGGUACUGACGAGUGGCGAACGGGUGAGUAAUACAUCGGAACGUGCCUAGUAGUGGGGGAUAACUACUCGAAAGAGUGGCUAAUACCGCAUGAGAUCUACGGAUGAAAGCAGGGGAUCGCAAGACCUUGUGCUACUAGAGCGGCCGAUGUCAGAUUAGGUAGUUGGUGGGAUAAAAGCUUACCAAGCGGACGGUCUGUAGCGGGUCUGAGAGGACGACAAGCCAAACUGGGACUGAGACACGGCCCAGACUCUUACGGGAGGCAGCAGUGGUGAAUUUUGGACAUGGGCGCAAGCCUGUUCCAGCAAUGCCGCGUGCAGGAUGAAGGCCUUCGGGUUGUAAACUGCUUUUGUACGGAACGAAAAGCCCUGGGUUAAUACCCUGGGGUCAUGACGGUACCGUAAGAAUAAGCACCGGCUAACUACGUGCCAGCCGCCGCCGUAAGAC
rnacentral:rRNA from 1 species